rnacentral:rRNA from 1 species
UUGGGAAUAUGCCUUAUGGUGGGGGACAACAGUUGGAAACGACUGCUAAUACCGCAUGAUGUCUACGGACCAAAGUGGGGGACCUUCGGGCCUCACGCCAUAAGAUUAGCCCAAGUGGGAUUAGCUAGUUGGUGAGGUAAUGGCUCACCAAGGCGACGAUCCCUAGCUGGUUUGAGAGGAUGAUCAGCCACACUGGGACUGAGACACGGCCCAGACUCCUACGGGAGGCAGCAGUGGGGAAUAUUGCACAAUGGGCGCAAGCCUGAUGCAGCCAUGCCGCGUGUGUGAAGAAGGCCUUCGGGUUGUAAAGCACUUUCAGUAAGGAGGAAAGGUUAAGUGUUAAUAGCACUUAGCUGUGACGUUACUUACAGAAGAAGCACCGGCUAACUCCGUGCCAGCAGCCGCGGUAAUACGGAGGGUGCGAGCGUUAAUCGGAAUUACUGGGCGUAAAGCGUACGCAGGCGGUUUGUUAAGCGAGAUGUGAAAGCCCCGGGCUCAACCUGGGAACUGCAUUUCGAACUGGCAAACUAGAGUGUGAUAGAGGGUGGUAGAAUUUCAGGUGUAGCGGUGAAAUGCGUAGAGAUCUGAAGGAAUACCGAUGGCGAAGGCAGCCACCUGGUCAACACUGACGCU